rnacentral:rRNA from 1 species
UCAUGUGCUAAUUCAUCACCUGAAACCACGUAGGUUUUGGCCUGGCCAGUACUUGGAUGGGGGACCUACUAGGAAAGCUGGUUUGCUGCUGGU